rnacentral:rRNA from 1 species
CAAUAGCGUAUAUUAAAGUUGUUGCAGUUAAAAAGCUCGUAGUUGAAUUUUUGCUUGCCGCCGAUGUCGGAACUUCCGUACGUUCGGCGGCGUGCAUCCUUGGGUGGAACCUGUGUGGCAUUAGGUUGUCGUGCAGGGGAUGCUCAUCGUUUACUGUGAAAAAAUUAGAGUGUUCAAAGCAGGCUUACGCCGUUGAAUAUAUUAGCAUGGAAUAAUAAGAUAGGACCUUGGUACUAUUUUGUUGGUUUGCGCACCGAGGUAAUGAUUAACAGGGGCAGUUGGGGGUAUUCGUAUUCCAUUGUCAGAGGUGAAAUUCUUGGAUUUCUGGAAGACGAACUACUGCGAAAGCAUUUACCAAGGAUGUUUUCAUUAA